CCAUGGGCUACAUCUGUGCAGGGGUUCUAGGUUAUCUCCAUGCAUGGUACUUGGUAGGAGUAUGAGUCUCUGGGAAGACUCCUGUGUUCAAAUUUCUGGUUCUGUUGCUCUCCUUGUGGAGUUCCUGUCCUCUCCAGAUCUUAUUAUUUCCCACUUUUUACAUAAGAUUCCAUGCACACUGCCCAACAGUUGGCCAUAAAUCUCAGUAUCUGCUUUGAUAGUCUGCAGGACAGAGUCUUUCAGAGGCCCUCUGUGGCAGGUUCCUAGCUUGUUUCCUGUUUUCUUCUUCUUCUGAUGUCCUUCCUCUUUGCCUUUUGGGAUGAGGAUUGAGCAUUUUAGUCAGGGUCUUCUCUCUUGAUUAGUUUCUUUAGAUGUACGGAUUUUCGUAGGUUUAUCCUAUAUUACAUGUCUAUAUGAGUGAGUAUAUACCAUGUGUGUCUUUCUGCUUCUGGGACAGCUCACUCAGGAUGAUCCUUUCCAGGUCCCACCAUUUACCUGAAAAUUUCACAAUUUCCUUAUUUUUCAUUGCUGAGUAAUAUUCCAUUGUGUAGAUAUACCACAAUUUCUGCAUCCAUUCUUCAGUUCAGGGGCAUCUGGGCUAUUUCCAGUUUCUAGCUAUUACAAAUAAAGCUGCUACAAACAUGGUUGAGCAAAUGUCCUUAUUGUGUACUUGAGCCUCUUUUGGAUAUAUACCUAGGAGUUGUAUGGCUGGAUUUUGAAGAAUCUCUAUUCCUAGUUGUCUGAGAAAGCGCCAGAUUGAUUUCCAGAGUGGUUGUACAAGUUUACAUUCCCACCAGCAGUGGAGGAGGGUUCCCCUUUCUCCACAGCCUCUCCAGCAUGUGUUGUCACUCAAGUUUUUCGUCUUGGCCAUUCUGAUGGGUGUAAGGUAAAAUCUCAGGGUCGUUUUGAUUUGCAUUUCCCUGAUGGCUAAUGACGUUGAGCAUUUCUUUAAGUGUUUCUCUGCCAUUCUAUAUUCCUCUACAGAGAAUUCUCUGUUUAGCUCUGUUCCCCAUUUUUUAAUUGGAUUACUUGGUUUGCUGCUUUUCAGCUUCUUUAGUUCUUUAUAUAUACUGGAUAUUAGUCCUCUGUCAGAAAAAGGGUUGGUGAAGAUUCUUUCCCAAUCUGUAGGCAGUCAUUUUGUUUUGAUGACAGUGUCUUUUGCUUUACAGAAGUUUUUCAGUGGGAGGAGGUCCCAUUUAUUGAUUGUUGCUCUUAGAGCCUGUGCUGUUGGUGUUCUGUUCAGGAAGUUGUCUCCUGUACCAAUGAGUUCUAGGGAGACAUUGAUUUCUUAAUGUAAAACUUUCUAAUUACUUUAAAUUUAAGGGGCUGUCUUUGGCUAGUGGCUACCUGUUUGAAAGUGGACUCCAGACUGUGGAUCCAGGAAAGGCCAGGGAACGAUAGCUGUUACUUUUCUUUCCAAAUCAAACAUGUCCUCUUAGGAACUGUUUUUUGUUUUUUUUUUUAAUUUGUUGUUUGUUUGUUAUUACGAUGAGGCUUAGUUCAUAUAAGAAAGAAAGGCAGAAUGCACAUAAACCCAGGGUUCAUUUGUCUGGGGCUUUAGCCAGUUCGUGACUGAAAUCAGAGCCACCUUUGGGUUUAUAUCACAAAGGGACACGGAAUGCAAAAAGCUAUGAAAAGAGUGAGGCCAGAUGACUUAUCUUGAUUGUCAACUCGAUGGGAUUCAGAAUCUCCACAGAAGAAACACAUUUCUGGGAAUGUCUGGGAGGGUUUAUCUAGGCUAAUUAGGUUAAUUGACUUAAAGAGACCCAAUGUGGGCCACACCAUCUCACGGUUGCAGUUCUCUCUGAAUAAAAAAAGAAAGCGGUUGAUGCAGUGUGAUAGCUGCCUUGAACUCGUACUGUCAUGGACCUUACUCUUAAACUGUGAGCCAAAACAGCCCCCUCCAUCCCUCCCAUCCUCUCUUCUUUCCCUUCUCUUCUCUCUCUCCCUUCUUUCCCUCUCUUCUCCUUUUCCUCCUCCUCCUCCUCCUUUUUCUUCUUCUUCUUUUUGGUUACAGCAUCAAGUAAGUCAAACUGCUCUGAAAUGUGACCUUCACACAGGAAAUGUCUAGGAAAAACGUACAAGAGAAUGUGGAUUAUCAUGUAAUGAGCUAUGGUUUGUUUCAUGGGUUUUCUGCCUAACUUUCCAAGUCUAAGCUAUCUGGAUAAAAGUCCUUGGGUCUUGACUCUCCUCUCCCCUCCCCUUUUUGUGUUUUUGGAUGUAGGAUCUCACUGUACAGCCCAAGCUGGUGUAAAACUUAUGAUCCCUAUGCCUUAGCCCCCUGAGUGUUGGGAUUGUUGGUUUGUAGCACCAUAUUGGACAUUUAGGUGACCACGUGCUCCUGGUGGGUUACCAGAACUCUUCACAUUAAAUUUCCAACGUAAGUUUUUGAGGAUGUCCAUUCCUCUUCUAUUCAGAAUUCUGCAUCUCAGAGUUUCAAUAUGACAUUAGCUCCUAGCAGGGCAUAAUAGGAUCUUGUCCGAAAGGCCUCCAGGGCUAUCAUCCUUCUCUAAUCUCACAGAAGACAGGGCUGUGAGCUUUCAGUCAUGAGACAAUACUGAGGGGGCUGCUUUUCUGCUGUGGAGCUUGGAUGGACCACAUAAGAAAUCUUUGGCAUUAUUGGGCCACAGCUGCUUGCAAGGGGGAGAAUCCAGAUCUGGAUAAUAUCAUAGAUAAAUGGCUUCAUUUCCCAUCAUAAGAGGAGUGUUUGUGUCUGUCUCUCCAUCUGUCUGUCUCAGAGGGAGCUGAUCUUAUGCCAGGAAGGAGAAUACUUUAGAUCAAAGAUGGAUAAACUUUUCCUGUAAAGGACUAGAUAGUAAAUAUUUUGACUGUGGGGGGCCAUACCAUCUCUAUUCAGCUGAAUCACAGUACAAAAGCAACUACGAAACCAGUUCCUCCCCCAUCAGAUGAAUAGACUCAUAACUGUGACUCAGUGACACCUAAUUUCCAGAACAGAGCAAUAGUUUGAAUUUAGCCCACGGCUCCUGUUGGCAUGCCUCUACCCUAGACCUUCUGCCUCUUGAAUUUCUAAUGUGAAGUAGGUGUUGGGGAACAAGAAACCAACAGCUCUUUGGGAAACGGGAAGUAGACAUACACAUAUGCAGGUAAAUUUAGACUGGAGUAAAAAAGGCUGUCUUCAUUUCACAGGGCAGUGAGAAUGUUCAUUCAUUCAUUCAUUCAUUCAUUCAUUCAAGUCCUGUUCAUAAAGCCUACUGGGAGACAGGGCUCAGAGAUACCUAAGAUGGAAUGAAAGCAUCUCAGGGAGAUCUCUUCCUGUAGGAGAAAGUAAUGUUUGGUUAUAGCACAGGAUAGAAGUAGUGAGGCAUUUGGGUGUAGAUAAUGUAGCUCUGGACAUGAGACACAUGAUACACACGUAGUGUGACCAAGUCUAAAAGACAUUGUCUCUCUCUUCCUCUUUGGAUUCUUUGCAGAUAAUAACUGCGUCAUGAAGGUUCAUUUUCAAAGCUCUCUCGUGGUUGACAUGGGAAUUUUGCGUGUCUUUCUUUUUAGAAUGUUCCUUAAAAGUUGUUGGGGCUCCUACCCUGUGUAUCAGUGGGUAACAGCACUUGCUGCCAAACCUGAAGACCUGUCUGUCUCAGAGAUUUGGUUUUAUGCCAGGAAGGAGACUAACAACACUUUAAACCAACAAUGGGUAAACUUUUCCCGUACAGGAUUAGAUAGCAAACAUUUUGGCUGUGGGAAGCCAUACCAUUUCUACUCAAGUCUGAAUCACAGCAUGAAAGCAACUACAAAAACCAUCUAUGUUGGUUCCUUGGGACCCACAUGGUGAAGGGAGAGAUUCAACUCCAGAGGGUUGUCUUUUUACUUCCACUUAGACGUCAUGGCAUGAGUUUCCCCCAAAAAUGUGUAAGAAAAAGUUGAUGCCACCUGCUUUAUUAAAGCACACUCAUCUAUUGGCAGUUCUGACAAUAUUCCAGGGACAAAAGGGGGAAAUUUAAAGGUCUUUGAGGCCUCACACAGAUGGAGAGGAGACAAUGGAAGCAUUCUAACCCUCUCAGCCUCAGAUCUCAGAACCCCCCACACUCCCAGUGUUAGGACAACACUAGGCUACCACUGCUCCAUACACCUGGCUCGUGGGAAGGGCCUGGAAGACAGGCCUCUGCAGGGCAGGGAGAGUGAGCUCAGUAGGGAAGAAGCCUAGGAAACACAGAACCUACAUGGACUCAAGAGAGUUGGCCUUUUAAGAAAAAAGUCUAGUUCAACUCAAGUGUAUGGAAGAGACUUAGAUCUUUCUGGGGGGCCAUGCCCUUAGCACCCAAGCAGCAGGUAUAAACCGGUGUGUCUCAGUUUGCAUUUCCCAACACUCAGAGAUCAGGCCGUGAGACCAGGGCAGACCCACCACGAUGGCAAGGAGCCCAAGAACGGGCUGUGACUGGAUUGGUCGGUCUCCACGAAUCUCCAUUCCCUUUCACCCUUCCUGCAGAAACCACUUUCUCGCUUUGAGUCUCUGUAAUAUUAACUUGCCAGUGGGACUUGUACACUUCAGAUAAAAUUUAAUAACGAUUAAAUACUUAAGGCUGCUGGCUGGAUGCUAAUUUCAGUAAUCUAUUAUAUGUGAUUUGCAAGAUUUCCCAGUGUUUUAUUUUAUUGUCUUAGACUCUUGUGGGGUUGAGAUUAGAGAGAAGUGAAUGAGGUUGGGCACAGAACCAAAGAGAGCUUCAAAGACAUGGUCAGACAGUCUAAUGAGGAAACACCAAAUGACUGAAAAUAUCUCACAAUGAAUAUCAUAGUUAAACUUUCAGACAGUGUGGCAGGCUGGGAAAACAAAAAACCAAGGGAUUGUGGGAAGGGCAAGGGGCCCUUGCUGGAGUCUGGUAGAAGCCUCUGGCCAGCUGAGAGUCAGUCAGAAUCCUAGCACAGUGAACAAGAUUCACUGUGACAGGGUCAACACACAGAUAAUACUUCUUAUGUAUAGAGAUGCUUUCCAAGGAGGAUUAAAAUGGCAAGCCAGGUUUAAGGCCUGGGAGUGCACACUUAUGGCCAUGUUUCUCUCUCAUUAUUUUCUGGGAACUUGGUGAAGAGUUACUUUUCACAGUGAAAACUCCCUAACUCUCUGACCUCUUGUUUCACCUUACUGGCUACUGUCCAGGGCACCUCCGGAGCCAUCCCAUGAUGGCUUUAGAUGCCUAAGCAAGUUUUUGAAGCUGUGACUUCAGAGCCCACCCAGACCUCCUAGGCACCUGUUAUAAGGUCAAGAAUCCAGGCUUCACCUGAAUUGAGGUCUCUGAGGGGAACGCUGGCUGCAGCAUGGGGCUGUGUUUGCCCUUCUGUACCACAGCCACUGACAGCACCAUCUCACCAUGCGAUCGGACAGCUCCGCCUCACUCCCUUGACUCUGGUUCUUGAAAACUGUAUUUUCCAAACAAGCAGCUAGGGCCGGCAAGAUGGCCGAGAGGCUCAAGGUGCUUGCGUUCAAUCCCUAGGACCUUCAUGGUGGAAGGAGAGAAAGAUUCUGCAAGUUGUCUCCCGAGCUCUACGUGUUUGACCAGUGUUCAUGGUAUUCUGCACGCUGCCAGAGGAGAAGGGGAAACACCAACGCAGCCACAAACCCUUGGAUCCACCGUGGUGACCUGCCUAUAAGAUACGUGGGUGUGAUAGUGGCACAAAUGUUGUGGGAGGAACCAACUGCUCUCUAAUUGUAUUCAAGGUCCAUCCACAAGACAGAACCCAUGCCUGACACUGCUCAGGGGGCCAAGGACCUGAGCGGAGACUGGCCAGGGGCCUAGGGGGAAAACCAAAGACUGCUGUUCUGCUGAAGGAACGUGGCAAUAACAUGGCUCCUCAGGACAGUUUGUUAUAUUCACAGAGGAAGGUGUCCUAAAGAGACAUUUGUGUCUCUCAGUCAGACUGUUGGAACAAUGGACCAUAAAGAAAUGGGAAUUUCUCCCCUAGGAAUUUCACUCUGGGAGAAGAAAAAGGUGCCAGCCAGAGGGGAAUCUUGUCUCCUGGAAAGAGUUUAAGAGCUUGUCUGACCACCUAAUGAGAUGAGCCUGAAGCCCAGACAAUGGUGGGUCAGUGGGGGCAGGACCACACCUUGACCUGGACUGCUUAGAUGUGCACAUCCCUGGCCCACUCUGUAAACUUGAAGGUCAGGACCCCAAAGGCUGACUCGGAGGACCGCUGGAUUGCCUGGUCUCGCUUUCCAAUAUGGCCAUAGUGAAUAAAUCUCCCUUCCCUGCCUUCCACUAGCAAUUUGACUUUUAAAAUUGGCCUACUGGGAAUGAGUGGCUGAAACAGGCUUGGGGCAUAGACUGUGACCCCUAGGUUUGAAAAGUGACAGUUUCUGGCAGUGCCAUCAGGUGAAAAGGUGACGGAGGCAAGAGCCUAAUCUCACAGUUUAAUUUUUUUAAAAGUUAAACCAUAUUUAGUGUGUGUAUGUGUUCCUAUGUACUCCCACCUGUGGGAGUCGGAGGACAUCUUUUUGGAGUCUAUUUUCUCCUUCUACCAUGUGGGUCCUGGAGAUAAAAAUCAGACUCAGGUCAUCUUACCAGAAAAAGCUUUUGUCCUCCGAGCCAUCUCAAAGCCCCUAACUCACAUUUUAAAUGAACCAACCCUCAUGAUAACAGUUUAUUCAUGAAAGCGAAGUCCCCGUGACCUAAUAAACUUACAAAUGUCCAGCUUCCCCACAUUUUGUAGACUAAAGAUUAGAUUUACAACCCACGAACCCUUGGGGGCACAAACUGUAGUGUCUGUUCCUAUUCUCUAUCACAUUCUUUUCACACACAAAAUACAUCCAUCUAGACCAAUAGCAACCCAUCCCCACCCCAGUUGUUCCAGAAUCUUGUUCCAGAAUCAGUUGAAAUUUCCAGAGACCAGGUCCUAGGAGAAGUCAGACACGCGUGACACUGAAGCAUGAUUCGCUUUGAGGAGAAUUCUCCAGCUGUGAGCCCGGGAGAUCACAGCGAAGUCAAUUGCUUCCAAAACUGGGCAAACACAGUGGGUGCGGAGGAGGCCCCAGGCAAGGUCAAACCUCAACAGGGCAGACAUUAAUUCUUAAAACUCUAGAAUGGUCUUCUAGUCCCUGAGCUGCAUGGUCAAUACUUUGGGAGAAGGGACUGGACUCCAACCUCCUCAGCAAGCUUCACAUUCAUAGCUUUCCUGGCCUCAGCCUGUGCUUCAGCUCUGGGCCUGGAACUGCACGCUCACCACUUUCCCAAGCAUUGCACACUGGCGGCUUUAUACUUCUGGAAUCCUGGGACACCCCUGCUGUGAUGGGUCCAGUGGGUAUUGUUACAGGAGCCUUAACGACUACAGAGGAUGAACCCCUCUCCCGUGGCAUCUGGCAAUCUGUUCUUCUCCAAAGAUUAGACACACAUUGUUGUCUCCUCUUUAAGAGUUAAACAAUCUGGGCCAAUCCACCACCUGGCAAAAGACCACCCCUCAGGGAGACUGGAAGACGGUGUGUGUGUGUGUGUGUGUGUGUGUCCUCAAAAAGUGUGGGACUACUUUUUCUAUCCUCUCAUGGUGCACUGGCUUUCAGUUCCUCCAUCCUGUAGCACUGUGGAAAUUAUCCACUUUCUUGAGUCCCAACUUAGAAAAGUGUAAUUUCUCAUUUCCUUUUCAUUUGUUCUAUUUCUUUCCUAAGCAUACCUUUCUGAACACUUUGGGCUGCCUCGCUCUUCCUCACAGCUUUCUCCACCUUCUCGUCUGCCAUGUAGGUGCUAAGCAAAGGACGUAACUUCAAGAUUUUCAGCAGGCCUUCCCUAUUGUUCCCUCUGAACCCAUCUUUAAGAAGACUAAGAACAUAAAAGAUGAAGCUCUAGUUUUCCCAGUGCUGCCCUGAUAGGGAAUUGCCAUGGCAGUUGGCGCUGUAGCCGCUUUCUGCCUGGACUCUUAGGCUAUCUGCAAUUUUCUGAUAUGGGGCUGGAGCCUACCAUGGCCUGCAUGGCUUACAGGUUUCAUGUGUCUGCAGAAUUACUAUCGCAUGGUUACCUCCAAGGUCUACAGUUUGUUGUGUCUGGAGCAAUGGCCAGAGUCACACGUCGGCCUACUUGAGCUGUUGUGGGCAGUGCUGACACAGAUGGUAGGUCAGAACUUGAUAAAGAGCCACACAUGUGGGCGCUGGGCCUCAUAAGUGUCUUGGAUAAAUGUGUGUGUGUGUGUGUGUGUGUGUGUGUGUGUGUGUGUGUGUAGGUGUGUACCUCUGUACCUGUUUUUGGGUUUUUAGUGUGAGUUGUGAAGAUCAAAGUCUGGUCCUCAUUGCUUCUGCAGCACUGUUCUGCGGGGGGUACCGCUUUAGCUCCUCCACAUCGAUUUUUUAUGACCUGUUUGCCUGAGCUUAAAGCCAGUGCUCUUUUACUAUCAGUCUGUGUCUCUACGACGUUCCCAAUUCCGGGUUAAUCCAGUGAAAUCAAAAGAAAUGAAAAACAGCAGAAACAGAAAGAAAACCUUCUCCCGAGACUAAAACCCAUUUAUUUGGCACCAGGUAGAGAAAACAGGUGCCUGGCUCUUUCCUUUCUUUUAAACAAUCGGGCUGUGGUGGUGUGUAGAUCCAGGCCGAGCUUGCUAAUGUUCCAGAAACAUUAAUCCCCUUCAGAGGAAUUUGCUGAAUUAUCAAUGAUAAUUGGAUCAACCCACGAAGGACAGUGUACCGGGCAACCAGCAAAUGUAAGGCCAGUAUGUGUGUGUGUGUCAGGGAAGAAGAUAAGAACUCGGCAUUACCAGCACACAGCCCUGAGGUGGGGAGCAGGCGGGAGGAAUUGGGGAAGAGAGGGGCACAGCUGUCUUGUAUGGUUUUCUGGUUAAACUGAGAGAGAAUUUUGAGUUUCGUGUCAGCCGGCUCACAUUACCCUUGCUCCCAUCCACUUUAAGUCGCAUGGUUUCAGUUUCGGAACGUUUAUGGAAUAAAACAAAGCAGUUGGAAAUGCUGACAAGUAUUGGAAGCAAUUACUGAAGUCUUAUUUGCCCCCCCCCCCCCCACCCCCGGCUAAGGGUCCAGUCCCAAAGGCUGGCCAUGGCGGCAGGAGUGAGCAUCCAUGGUCGGCAAGCAGGGAGAGAUGGUUGCAGAUGCUCAGUUGCUUUCUUUCCUCCCUGCACCCCCUUUUUUUAUCAGGUCCCCAGUCUGUGGGUGGAAGCUACCCCCACUCCGUGGGUCUUCCGCCCUCACUUAGUCCUGUCUGGACAUACCUAGGUGCUUCUGAAGCCAGCUAAGUUGACAAUGAGGAUUAAUCGCUGCAUAAAGACAACAUAACUUUAACUUUUGACUUACUGGUCAGCUAAUUUCAUUAAAAAAAAAACAAAACAUUUUUAUUGGUUAUAUCCUCAGCCUACUCAUAUCACCCUCCCUUCGCAUUCUCCCUCCACCCUUGCCACCUUCCCCACGGCAUUGUGGAAGCUGUAGUGUGUCCCACUGUGUCCCACACUGUGGUAUACCCUUUACAGUAUACCCUUUUGUCCACACUUCUUUGCUUGCAAAUGUUCAUUGCAACGACUCGUUGGUCUUGGUACGGGGCCUCUGACUCCUGCUACACUAUCAAUACUAGAACCUCACUGGGUCUCCUCUCGGAUAUCCUGUUGUUCCCCUGUGUCAUGGAGAUCCUGUAGUUUUGGAUCUGCAGGUGGCUAGAGGAUGGGUCAGCCCUCAGGACCCCAGGGUCAGCUCUCCCACGUUGCUGAGGUAAAGGGUGGGGCCAGUUACACACAGCCCUCAGAUGUCAACGUGUCCAGGGCAGCAACCCAGACCAUGGAUGUCUGCCUGGCCUUCGGUGGUAACAAACCUCUGUUGCCGCAGGGCCGUGGACCCAGACGUGACAGCACAGGCCAGCACUCCACCAUGGCCCCAGGUGGCAUCACCAGCUACUCACAUUAGGCUGUUCCUCACCACCCUGGGGUCUCCAGUUCUGCCUAUCCUCAGUGUGCCCACAGCCUUCUGGAUUCUCUUUCAUUUCUCCACCACUUACUUGCUCCUCUUAGUGGCUCCUGGGGUCUCAAGAGAGCUGUCCAUCUCAGUGGUCUCAGGAGAGCUGUGCCCUGCUUGUGUGUUAUGGCACCGGACAGAGGUCAUCUCCUGCAUGGUCUGCUCCCUCAGGUCUGUGGUUAUCUCAGGCUCGCUCUCUGUCCAGGCCCUGUGGCGCUGGUCUGGUGGUUGUCUUAGGCUUGCUCCUCGCCCAGCCACCCCGGUGGCUCCUUUGUGAGGGUCACCUGUCUCAGGCUCACUCCUGCCCAAGGCCUGUGGGUUCUUCUUCUAGUCUCUGGCUUGCUCCCCAUUCUGGGCUACUAAUCAUCCAGAUGUUCACACGUCAGAGCACUGAGCUUAGACAUAGCCUCUCUCCUCUCUGCCACCUACUCACACACAGGUGACACAGGAGCCACACCUGCAAGGCCUCUAGAGACAGAUAGCUAAUUCCAUUUCUAACCCCAGCUAAUCACCUGCAUCAUGUGUACUAACUUGUAAUAGACACUGACUAACUCCUUUAACGCCCACAGCGUGCUAAUGCUCAGGGCAUUUGUGGGAUGCUUUAGGAAGGGAAAAAUAAGAGCAUUCCUCCAACAUCAGCUUGUGUUGGGGUUCAGUGACAUGUUGGCAGGGUUCCAGGUUCUUGGGUCCCAAAACAAAGGAUUGAGCAGAGAUGCAUGAGUAUACCAGAGGCAGGGAUGGUUCGUUAAGAAGAAACAUGUGCCCGAGGGAGGGAAGCAAUUUGGAGCAAUGGGAGACAUUUUAGCUUCAGAACUGGCCCAUGGUGCAAUGAGUUGGGGCUUUUAUGUCACAGAGUAGGGAUUUUUUUUUUUUUUUUGACUCAUUUGCUUAGUCCAGGCUUUGUCUCUCUUGACUUGUCCGUUAUGUGCAAUUAGUUCAAAGCACAUUUCCUCAGCAUCUUAAAUCUCCACCCAGGGGUGUAUAUUUGAAUAUCAUCAUGAGCCAUGGGUCAUUUUCAGACACCAAAGUACCUCCGUGCUGUGGUGAGGGUUUAGUUGGCCUGGUAUGGGGGUUAGGUUCCUACCUUCCUCUUUGCCAAAUGUUUUGUUUUUUGUUUUUUCCCCACAUGCUAAUUCUAUAAUGCUAUGCAUAAGGAAUUCUGGGCUCUCUCCCUAACCCACUGCCCUCUGUUUUUCUUCAUGUUAAAAAAAAAAUGCAGUCUUGAAAGAAAGAGAUAGGUUUUGGAAGAACAAGGUGUUUGGCCUCCUCACUUUCUGGUCCACAAAGCCCUUCUUUGCCUUACUAGUACUGCAUCGAGAUCCUCUCUGUAGGUCCCUCAUCACCUCCCUUUCCCUCUGUUCUCCGGUCACACUGUUGUCUGCCUCCUCUCAUCCCUACAGACACCUCUCAGCUUGUGUCUCUGAACUGUCUGUCCUCUCACUUCCCACCCGGGGCUCAGUCACCAGAACUCGGUGAUUCACGGGAGAUGAAUCCUUCAGGACUUGAAGAAUCUCACACUUGCCACGAGUCAUUUUCUCUGUAGAAUAUGGUUUGUGGAUGGAGGGACUGAGAAGGUCAUGAAAAAGCUCUUGUUUUCCUCAGCAGGUCCUCUGUGCUCAUCAGACAACGCGGGUCCGGCCAUGACCUUAGGUGUUCCUCAGCAGAAGCUCUUGUGCUCGUCUUGAGAGCUGUCUGCCUGGAAGUCGGUCACGCGUGACUCGUGGAGAACAGGGACUGUGUUAGCGAUUCAAGUUGAACGUCACACCGUGCUAUGUUCUCGUGUUCGCUUACAGAUGCCUGGGAGCAUACAUUCUAAGUGCAGCCUUUACUCCGGAAGAAGACCGUAUUUCUGUGUGUGAGCCUCUCUGCACCGUGCUUCUCGCUCUCUCCUGUGAGAGGCUGCAGUUUAUUUAUUCUGUCAAGCGCAGCACAGGCUGACAUAACCCCCGAGGGAGAGAAAAGAACUGGGUUGUAGACCAGCCGGGGCCAUUGCCCCUCCCCGCCCCACCUGGAGGAAGUAAUUCUGAGCCGUGUUCAGUGUCUUGAACGGCCCUGUGGUUUUCGCCUACCUCCUGGUACAGGAGGGAAGGUCCUGGCAGCACCAGGCCCCGGUGAGAUCCUCCUCAGCUUGCGGAGCUGGCUCUGAUCCAAAGCUUCUCCCUUCCAUGCUAGGCGGGAAAGCAUUGAAUGCUCGCGGACUCUUGACUCCACAGUUGGAAGCGCGGUCAGAGGCGGGUGCUAGGCUGCCUGGAUGGCUCCGGUGGGGAAGGCGCUUGCUGUGAAGGCUCAUGGCCUAAGUUCGGUUUCUAGGAAACAGCCUAAAGGCGGAAAGAAAGAACUCACAAAGCGGUUCUUCAGCUCCCACUGUGUCACAUCACACAGCAUUCACACGUCACACAUGGGCGCGCGCGCGCGCGCGCGCACACACACUCACACCCACACCCACACACACUCCCCCCCACACACAAAUAAACCAGCACUUUAAAAAGGAUCCAGCUGAUGGUAAUAAGCAUGAUGAUGUUUCUCCAAGGAUAACCAGAGGGCCAUGGUAUCCCACGUACCACCUGGAUUUACACUUCUGCCCAAGUAAAAUUUAAUUGCUCUUUCAAAGGCAGGAAAAUAUUCCAUUGCCGGGAAAUAUGGCAUAAAGGAUUUCGGCACACUUCCUCUGGGUUUUUCUUACAAAUUCUAAAUGAGAAUUUUCUGCCAAUUUUGGGGCAGAAGCAGAGGGGCUGAACAGUUUUACCAAUGGUUUUGAUUAUGGAUUGUCUAUAUGGCAUCAAUAAAAAUAACAAGCGCUGGAUCUGAUGGGCACCGGGCUUUCUUAAAAAGCUAAUAAAAAUUAUGGGCAGUGGGAAUACCUCUUAGGUUUUAGAUGUUUUUCUUAUACUGCAUAUGGAAAGUCUAUUUCCCAAUAUUUUAGUGCCGGGAGCACAAUAACUGGAGACGAAUAUGUUCUCUUCAAAGUGCCAAUAAGAAUUGAAAAUAUCGUUUUCCAGCACAGGCCAGGCUGAAAUCAACCUGUUUUAUGGUAAUUGUGGGUCCUGGCGGCAGACCACAGCAGAGCUUUGGAGGACCGGGUUUGCUGAGUGGUUCCCAUCCUUCCAGUACGCACGACCCAGGGGAUAAUUUGUGUGAAGUGAAAGCGGAGAGUCUUCAUUACUGUGGCGGGCGUCCGCCACAGCAACAGCGCUCCUACAAGAUCCCAAAGCGGACAUUGCCAGUGAAGCUGUGUUGUGGGAGUUAGGGAGCAGCGCCUUGCGCAGGGCAGAUCCUGGCAUCACCCACACACAUGUCUCGUAAUCGCUGUGGCAUCUGGAGUGACGGCGCAGAAGGACGGCACGCCACAUGACAGCGACGGGGAGCAGCUGUUCCAGCCAAGAGGAACUCUUCGUCCUCACCUGCCUCCCUUUCUCAGCGAAACCAGAGCCCCUUGUGACACAGGUGUCCCGGCAUGGGGUUGCCUUAGAUGGCUAUUAAGUGUGUCGUGAGAGGGGAGAAUAAAAGAAUCCUUUAGUGUU